rfam:Gasterosteus aculeatus cont1.011474, whole genome shotgun sequence.
AAGACACCUAAUUGUAAGUCGCUUUGGAUAAAAGCAUCAGCUAAAUGACCUGUA